rnacentral:tRNA from 1 species
GGGCUUGUAGUCUAACGGUUAGGACAUUACCCUCACACGGUAAAGAAAGGAGUUCAAUUCUCCUCAGGCCCA